rnacentral:tRNA from 1 species
GCCCGGGUGGCGGAAUGGUAGACGCAGUGGAUUCAAAAUCCACCGACUAAUAAUCGUGAGAGUUCGAGUCUCUCCCCGGGCACCA